GAUGAACGCUGGCGGCGUGCCUAAUACAUGCAAGUCGAGCGAACGGACGAGAAGCUUGCUUUUCUGAUGUUAGCGGCGGACGGGUGAGUAACACGUGGAUAACCUACCUAUAAGACUGGGAGAACUUCGGGAAACCGGAGCUAAUACCGGAUAAUAUUUUGAACCGCAUGGUUCAAAAGUGAAAGACGGUCUUGCUGUCACUUAUAGAUGGAUCCGCGCUGCAUUAGCUAGUUGGUAAGGUAACGGCUUACCAAGGCAACGAUGCAUAGCCGACCUGAGAGGGUGAUCCGCCACACUGGAACUGAGACACGGUCCAGACUCCUACGGGAGGCAGCAGUAGGGAAUCUUCCGCAAUGGGCGAAAGCCUGACGGAGCAACGCCGCGUGAGUGAUGAAGGUCUUCGGAUCGUAAAACUCUGUUAUUAGGGAAGAACAUAUGUGUAAGUAACUGUGCACAUCUUGACGGUACCUAAUCAGAAAGCCACGGCUAACUACGUG
rnacentral:rRNA from 1 species